rnacentral:lncRNA from 1 species
AAAUCUGUAGUAAACGCCCGUUUACUUUUACGUGCACGUAAAAUUAAACUAGUGAAAUCUGAAGUAAACGGCCGUUUACUACUGACUAAACGGACACAGAGUAAACGCGCGUUUACUCGAGUAGACAUUAUAAAUUUCCAUUUUGACCGCGUUAACGUAAAUGAAGUAAACGGGCGUUUACUAGUAAACGCGAAAUUUAAAGUCAACUAACGAAAUAUGUGCACGCCGCGUUAACUUGCGUUUACUUUAUGUAAUGCUUGGUCUGCACCCAACUGUAUGAAC